rnacentral:lncRNA from 11 species
UGAAAAGCGAAGGAUGUGCAGAACUCACCUGCAAAAAGUAUUCUGCAAUGCAGGGAAACAUAUGCCCACAUUUUCUACAAGAAGAAACAAACUUCAUAUGGCACAUCCAGCCCAGUGAAUAAGUGACAGACGCUGAUGCUGUUGCAGAAGACCCAGUUUCAAAGCAACAACAAAUUCUCCAAGCAGGUUCUCCAAUUCCUUGGAGCAGCAGAAAACAAGCUUGCCCCCUCCUCGGUCACAUAGCAUUUUCUUUGUUCUCACCCUCCAGUACUUGGGUCCUGAACACCUUUGAACUGUUCUUCCAACA